UGAGAAGAGAGAGAGGGGCAGGAAAUUCUCCAGAUCCCAGAGGCAGUGGCAUGCUGCAGAGGAACAGGCUACAGCUUCAGAUUAACCUCCCAUGCUCUCCAGAACUCUCUGUCUUUUGCUAAAAAGGAA